rnacentral:rRNA from 1 species
AUUGAACGCUGGCGGAAUGCUUUACACAUGCAAGUCGAACGGCAGCACGGACUUCGGUCUGGUGGCGAGUGGCGAACGGGUGAGUAAUACAUCGGAACGUGCCCAAUCGUGGGGGAUAACGUAGCGAAAGCUACGCUAAUACCGCAUACGAUCUAAGGAUGAAAGCGGGGGAUCGCAAGACCUCGCGCGAAUGGAGCGGCCGAUGGCAGAUUAGGUAGUUGGUAGGGUAAAGGCCUACCAAGCCGACGAUCUGUAGCUGGUCCGAGAGGAUGAUCAGCCACACUGGGACUGAGACACGGCCCAGACUCCUACGGGAGGCAGCAGUGGGGAAUUUUGGACAAUGGACGCAAGUCUGAUCCAGCCAUUCCGCGUGCAGGAUGAAGGCCCUCGGGUUGUAAACUGCUUUUGUACAGAACGAAAAGGCUCUGGUUAAUACCUGGGGCUCAUGACGGUACUGUAAGAAUAAGGAUCGGCUAACUCCGUGCCAGCAGCCGCAGUAACAC